rnacentral:rRNA from 1 species
AUGACUCGUAUCCGUCCAUCCGUGUCCGACUCCGGUCGUGGCCGCAAGCCCAAUUUCGACUUGCCUUGCUGGUCCUGGUGUACGAGCAUAUAUAAAUUGAAGCGAGGGCCAGGCCAUGGUGUACGAGCAUCGCAGUCGCAGACAAGCGCUUUGUGUUCCUGGUUUUUAGUUGGCGAUCGUGAUCCUCGGGCCGGCAGUAGUAGAACGAUCCGCCUCCCCAACGCAAAAGCGCCGCCGGAAUCGAUGAAGCUUCUUCCGGCCGCCCUCGGCCUUGUCCUCAUCCUCCUCCUCGUUCUGAAUCCCAAUGGCGUGGAGGCCCGGCCUGCGCCUACCGGCGGCCAUGAGAAGAAGGCGUCGAGCGCCACCUUCUUCGUGUUCGGGGAUGACUUCGCCGACAACGGGAACCUCCCUCUGAUCCACCCCGUCAUAGAGAUGUCGCGGCAAUGGGCCUACCCCUACGGCUCCAACUACAUCGAUGCCGAUGGGUUUCCGCGGCCGAACACUCCGUCCGGCCGCUUCUCAAACUACAAAAUCCAGUCGGAUUUCAUCGAUAAGUACUAG